UCUAAUGAACCUGUUAUAGUUAUUUGGUAAUAAGUGUCGCCUAUGUGCCGAACAUUUCUGUUUGCGCUGUAUGGGGAUCGGCUUGCUUUAAAAUUGAAAUGUUUUAAAUUCAAGGCCAUAUCGGGGGAUACAUAUGGUUGUAUGCGUAAUAUAUGUAGAACUGCCAAUGGGGUGGCGGGCGGAAUGUCGAAAUUAUUUACCGUUCUAUUCCAACAGUCAAUACUAUGCGAUAGUGAUAAAAUUUAGGAUAGUUGAAUUUGUAUAUAAUAAUCUAAGGAAUUGUUAGAUUUAGAAUGUUAUUUAUUUUGUCGGUUACGAAAAUUUGGUUUUACUCCUUCAACCAAAUUUUCGUAAAACUCGCGGGGGUGUUAUGUAGCGUUCCCAUCGUAUUCAGCAAUCAUUUUGUUGUCUUUAGUUGACCCAUGUCAUUGAUUGCGCCCGAAGUUAUAACCUUAACCGUUAGCCUUGCGCAACGCUCUAAUAAACUUCCCCUCUUUAAAUCGGGUAAAUAGAAUAAUCCGUUGUGUCUCUCCUGAAGGCGAAAAUCACGAGGAUUCUUCACGAAUGAUGUAGGAUGGAAAGGGAGGGAUGGCGCCAAGAUUUGGUUAACAGAAUGAAACAGUCAGUGGGGUCAUUGGUUUCCGAAGUUGCCCGAAGAGAUUAGCGGGAAAUUACGUAUUUCCGGUUAAGUCGUACGAGAUUACCUUCCCUAAUCUGAGGAUUCACAACGUAAGUUAUUUCAUCUCAGUUCGCCAAACCUAGUGGAAGCUCGCGUUGUUGUCCGGUUCAAAGUUGUGAAAAAUUAUAAAGAUAGCUUCGAUAGCGUCGGUAGUGCGUGCAAGAAUAGCGUGUGCAAAUACAAUAAGAAGCCAUACGGCACGCUCUAUUAUUUGCACAGCUACGACUGGAGAAGCGGACAAUCAGAACCACACGCGUGCGGCGAACUCUACACCCGGCCUCCGUUACAUCGCCGGAAGCAAGCCGGACCGUCAACUGACCGCUGGACGUAUCCUAGAGCCAUCAACCGUCGGCUCGAAUCUGCGUGGUGAUGUGAUCACCCACACCCAAUCGACCAAAAACGUCAUCGUCAACCGAACAACGAUCGAUCGCAGCAUCCAUGCCGAACCGAUCGAUCGCAGCAGCAGCAGCCGAACCUAUUGGUGAGUCGUAUCGUUCUUUCUACCUUAUUUGGAAGGGCGGCGUCCAAAGAACCCGCACCGUAAUUAAACAAAGUAUUGGAGAGCAUAUAGAUAAUUCCCGUUUCGAAACGAGUGAUAGGGACGCGUCCAUAAGUUGAGGGUUGUGUGUCGGCCAUCAUGUUUUUGUGACACCAUCUUUGAACGCCACACACAACCCAUACGAUUAGUCACCCGGGUGCGAAGCACAUGGUAUCGAGAGAGAAGGAGUGACGUCAUAUAGUAGUAAAGCACAAAAAUGGUCAAUGAGCACGAGUAGGGAGAGAAAGCACGCACACGAAUAGUAGAUAGGCCUAGAUAGAA